CGGAAUGCUUACACAUGCAAGUGGAAGGGGAGCACGGGGGCAACCCUGGUGGCGAGUGGCGAACGGGUGAGUAAUACAUCGGAACGUGCCCAGUCGUGGGGGAUAACGUAGCGAAAGUUACGCUAAUACCGCAUACGAUCUACGGAUGAAAGCGGGGGACCGUAAGGCCUCGCGCGAUUGGAGCGGCCGAUGUCAGAUUAGGUAGUUGGUGAGGUAAAGGCUCACCAAGCCGACGAUCUGUAGCUGGUCUGAGAGGACGACCAGCCACACUGGGACUGAGACACGGCCCAGACUCCUACGGGAGGCAGCAGUGGGGAAUUUUGGACAAUGGGCGCAAGCCUGAUCCAGCCAUUCCGCGUGCAGGACGAAGGCCUUCGGGUUGUAAACUGCUUUUGUACGGAACGAAAAGGCUCUGGUUAAUACCCGGGGCUCAUGACGGUACCGUAAGAAUAAGCACCGGCUAACUACGUGCCAGCAGCCGCGGUAAUACGUAGGGUGCAAGCGUUAAUCGGAAUUACUGGGCGUAAAGCGUGCGCAGGCGGUGAUGUAAGACAGAUGUGAAAUCCCCGGGCUCAACCUGGGAACUGCAUUUGUGACUGCAUCGCUGGAGUGCGGCAGAGGGGGAUGGAAUUCCGCGUGUAGCAGUGAAAUGCGUAGAUAUGCGGAGGAACACCGAUGGCGAAGGCAAUCCCCUGGGCCUGCACUGACGCUCAUGCACGAAAGCGUGGGGAGCAAACAGGAUUAGAUACCCUGGUAGUCCACGCCCUAAACGAUGUCAACUGGUUGUUGGGUCUUCACUGACUCAGUAACGAAGCUAACGCGUGAAG
rnacentral:rRNA from 1 species